UAAAUAGUUGUUGCGAUAAUCAAUCUCAUAAUCAGCUUGCGAACUCCUCUUGGUAUGCCAGGUAGCCUAGUUCAUUAAGUCAUUUCAAGUUGUGGGCACAUUAGUCCAACCUCAUAAUUCAGAGUAAACAUAAGAAUGGAGCGAGAAGAAGCACAUUCAAAAAAUAGAUGGGCUUUCAUUGUGAUGAGUGCAAACACAGCAUUUUGGAUUCACACUGUGAGAGUAUAUUGCAAUGCGAUCAAGGGUUGGAAGUUUUUGUAAGAUUGUCAGCCAUACAAUGAAGGAGUACCAGGGAACAUGUAAUAUGCCAUAUCAACUUGUGUCAUUAAACAAAAGAUCUUUUGCAUCUAAUCGAGUGUCAGAUCUGAGAAGUCUUAAACUGACUUGCCCAAGUGAAAUCCCAU
rnacentral:lncRNA from 1 species